rnacentral:rRNA from 1 species
AGGACGAACGCUGGCGGCGUGCUUAAUACAUGCAAGUCGAACGAGGUUCACUUCGGUGGGCCUAGUGGCGAACGGGUGAGUAACACGUGAGCAACCUGCCCCGAAGACCGGGAUAACAGUGGGAAACCGCUGCUAAUACCGGAUACCCCCAUUGGAUCCCAUGGUCGGAUGAGGAAAUGGAUUCCGCUUCGGGAGGGGCUCGCGGCCUAUCAGCUUGUUGGUGGGGUAACGGCCUACCAAGGCUUCGACGGGUAGCUGGUCUGAGAGGACGAUCAGCCACACUGGGACUGAGACACGGCCCAGACUCCUACGGGAGGCAGCAGUAGGGAAUCUUGCGCAAUGGGCGAAAGCCUGACGCAGCAACGCCGCGUGAGGGAUGGAGGCCUUCGGGUUGUAAACCUCUUUCAGCAGGGACGAUUGUGACGGUACCUGCAGAAGAAGCCCGGCAACUACGUGCCAGCAGCCGC